AUUGAACGCUGGCGGCAGGCCUAACACAUGCAAGUCGAGCGGAUGAAGGGAGCUUGCUCCUGGAUUCAGCGGCGGACGGGUGAGUAAUGCCUAGGAAUCUGCCUGGUAGUGGGGGAUAACGUCCGGAAACGGGCGCUAAUACCGCAUACGUCCUGAGGGAGAAAGUGGGGGAUCUUCGGACCUCACGCUAUCAGAUGAGCCUAGGUCGGAUUAGCUAGUUGGUGGGGUAAGGGCCUACCAAGGCGACGAUCCGUAACUGGUCUGAGAGGAUGAUCAGUCACACUGGAACUGAGACACGGUCCAGACUCCUACGGGAGGCAGCAGUGGGGAAUAUUGGACAAUGGGCGAAAGCCUGAUCCAGCCAUGCCGCGUGUGUGAAGAAGGUCUUCGGAUUGUAAAGCACUUUAAGUUGGGAGGAAGGGCAGUAAGUUAAGACCUUGCUGUUUUGACGUUACCAACAGAAUAAGCACCGGCGAACUUCGG
rnacentral:rRNA from 1 species